GUGGUACAAUCUGUGAAAAGGUUGAAAAGCCCUGAUCUAGACAUUAAUACUUCAGAUAGAACCAUAUUGUCAUGAGCAACAAUUCCUAAAUGUGCUACUUGACUCAUUAUGAUCUUUACUUUGUUGUAAUGUUUUUCCAUAUGCUGGUAAAUGAAGCUUCAUUAAAAUCAGGCUAGCAUGGAUUACUUCAGUACCUGGAUAUCAGACUGUGCAAUCUUUUGGGAAAUAUUGGCAGCAGUAAUAGGCAAAUUUUUAUUUGGAGGAGAUUGCUGCUUCUGAGAUUCUCCCUAAGGAACACUUUCUAAACAGCUGAGGGGCACUAUCUGAAAGUAGCUAAUCUAUAGAGACAGAAUAGAUACAAAAUCUGAAUCCGCACUAGUCUUCACUCUCUACUUUCAAAAUACUCUCAUGUUUGAAAAUACAUUUCUAUUGAACCAGGAAUGUCCAUUCUUAUUUGAUGAUACCAACAAGAAGUUACAUACAGACCACUAUAAAACUUCAUGAUUGAAUUCAAUGGCUUAAGUUCAGAAUAAAAAUAUUCUGACUGAAGUAAGGACAGAUUUGCCAGAAUAUCAAUGUCCAGACUUUCUUAAUCCAAAACUUAGUUGUAUUAAGAGUAUUAAGUACAACAAUGACUGAGGUUCAGCCUGAAAAUGCAUUACUGGCCCUUUCAUUUUCAAGUUUGUUAUGCAAUGCUAGUGUUGCUCAAGGAACAACUUCCUAACUGCCAAGAAAAGCUGAUCAUUUCACCAUUGUCUUCCUUGACUUAGUGCCAAGAGUGCAGAGUAACUGCAAAAUUGCCAACUAGCUAGAAUCAGAGAUUUGCACAUUUUUGAAAUUAAAAAAUGAAAUUAUUAACACUAAAUUAGCAAAGAAACUCUCACCCUGACUAUCUGGACAUAACCAAGCAUUAGUACUGAAGUGUUUUGCCAUUGCUUUCUUCUAAGAUGCAUUUCAAAUUUCUAGAUUAACCUAAAGUCCUGGGGCUAAAUUUGCUGAGCCCCUCCCAUCUAGAACUGAUGGUUUUCAGCCCAAAUGGUUUUCAGCCCAAAUUUGCUGAGCCCCUCCCAUCCAGAACUGAUCAGCCCAAAUGAUAUUAACCGUAUAUUUUUGUCAUCUGCAGGGACAAGAUAACACUUCCUCAAGCCAAAUGUAACUCCUGGAAACUCUUGGCACCAGGGACCAUCUGGUGUCAAAGAGAUGGAGGGACCCUGUUACUCUUAAAAAUUGUGAGCUUAUUUAUUUUGGCAAUAUUCUAUAGACACCAAAUUAUGUAUUUUUCCCUUUAUAACCCUAUCUUAAAUGAAGCAAUCACCUAGACCAUUUACAUUAUAGUUAAGCAACCAUAAUUACAUUUUUGUGAAAUUUUAUUUUAAAAUGGAACCUUUAUGAAUUAAACUGAGACCAAUAACUAACCUAUAAAUCUUGAUCUUAUAUUUUUACCAAUAUAAUUUCCAGCCCACUUUCCAAACUGUUGCAUGCCAAACAUUUCUGCUGCAAAAAUUACUAAUGGCAUUACAAAAUGUAUGUUAUGAAAUACAACUGCUCAAUUAGGCAACUAAUUGUGCUGAAAGAUAGAUGCUUACCCUGAUGAUCAAGGAACAAGAAAUAUUUCUGCCCUCUCUUCAUGGUCUAAGAACAUGAAUAACUGUUUGCAGUGAAAUAUUACCUGCUAAAUUGAAAGGAGAAUAGAAUAAGUGAGAUGAAACUGUUGGUGCAGAAUAAAGCAAUAUGUUGAA